rnacentral:tRNA from 1 species
GGGUCUGUAGCUCAGGUGGUUAGAGCGUUCGCCUGAUAAGCGAGAGGUCGG